rnacentral:rRNA from 1 species
GUGAUCAUUGAAUCUUGACGCACUUGCGCCCUUGCAUUCCGAGGGCACACCCGUUUGAGUGUCGUGAAAUCCUCAACCUUCUUUGUUUCUUUGAACCAAGAAGGCUUGGAAUUUGGAGGCUUCUGCUGGCCUCUUUCUUGAAGCCAGCUCCUCUUAAAUGGAUUAGCAGGUUCUGCUUAGCCAGAUCUCUUGACGUGAUAAGCCAUUUCUACGUCCUGGGUUGGGCUCUGUCUCUUGCUUACAAUUGUCUCUUUUAGAGACAUACAAUACACCCUUGACCUCAAAUCGGGUGAGACUACCCGCUGAACUUAAGCAUAUC